AUUGAACGCUGGCGGCAGGCCUAACACAUGCCAGUCGAGCGGAUGAAGGGAGCUUGCUCCUGGAUUCAGCGGCGGAUGGGUGAGUAAUGCCUAGGAAUCUGCCUGGUAGUGGGGGAUAACGUCCGGAAACGGGCGCUAAUACCGCAUACGUCCUGAGGGAGAAAGUGGGGGAUCUUCGGACCUCACGCUAUCAGAUGAGCCUAGGUCGGAUUAGCUAGUUGGUGGGGUAAAGGCCUACCAAGGCGACGAUCCGUAACUGGUCUGAGAGGAUGAUCAGUCACACUGGAACUGAGACACGGUCCAGACUCCUACGGGAGGCAGCAGUGGGGAAUAUUGGACAAUGGGCGAAAGCCUGAUCCAGCCAUGCCGCGUGUGUGAAGAAGGUCUUCGGAUUGUAAAGCACUUUAAGUUGGGAGGAAGGGCAGUAAGUUAAUACCUUGCUGUUUUGACGUUACCAACAGAAUAAGCACCGGCUAACUUCGUG
rnacentral:rRNA from 1 species